UCAGGUACUAGGCGUAAUGAACAAUGGAGACUUCCUAAUAACCUGGAGCCGUGGAUCAGAGACUGAAAAUAUUUAGCCCUGCAUGUAUGUGUGCUUUAAAAAAAAAAAAAUGAAAUCAUUUACUCUCCAAAAUUUGGUUCCAUGAGUUUGGUAUGAAUAUUUUUAGAAAAUGCAUAGUAACAUAUCAUGUGUGGUUCUUUCUUUAGGACUGCAGCCAUGCGUAUUUCCCGUCGAUGGCUAUAUUUUUAAGCUGCUGAAGAUCCACUAGACAUCUUGAGACCUCAUUGUUUGUAUGAUCCUUUGAACAAUGUGUCUCAGAAUGUUGUGGGAUUUUAGCACCUACAACAUUUUCUUCUUCCCUGAAAUGUCUUUUGAUUAUUCAAAAUUGUCAAAUUUAAGAUAAUUUCUCUAAAAAAAACCUUUAAACAAAUUUUAAUGUCUGUACAGGAAGAAAAUUAAACAGUGCUGGAAGAAGGGACUUUUCAAGUUGAAGGCAUAAUGUAUCAUGAACUCCCCAAUCACCUGCUGCCAUUGAUCAGAGACAUGAAAGAAUUUAGCGCUGCAUAUUAUCACCCUGCUUAUUUCCUUUACAUCCCUCUAUUUUUGAGAUGCUGAAGGGCCACUAGACAUCCUAAAACCCCAUUUUUUGUAUGACACCUUCAACAAGCUGUCUCAGAAUGUUGUGGGCCUUUAGUACCUACAGCACCAACUUCUUCUUCUUCCCCGAGUUGUAUAUUCAGAAUGCAAAAAUAUCUAAUUUAACAUAAUUUUCUGAAAAAAAAAAACAUUUAAACCUUUAAGGUCUUUGCAAGAAUCAAAGUAAACAUUUCUGGAAGGAGGGGACUUUUCAAAUAGAAGGCAUGUGAACCAUGGACUCCCCAGUAACGUGAGGCCAUGGAUCAGAGAUAUGAACGAAUUUAUCUCUACAGGAUUACAGCCAUGCUUAUUUCUUGUUGACGGCUGUAUUUUUGAGCUGCUGGAGGUCCACUAGACAUUCUGAUACCCCAUUGUUUGUAUGACCCUUUGAACAACGUGUCAAGAUUCUGAGGAACGUUGUGGAUAUUUAGUACCAACAACAACAACUUCUUCUUCUACCCUGAGAUGUAUAUUCAGAAUUCCAAAUUGUUUAAUUUAAGAUAAUUUUCUGGAAAAAGAAAACCUUUCAUCCUGUCCGGUCUUUCAGGAAUAAAAUUAAAUAUGGCUGCAAGAAGGUGAUUUUCAGGUACUAGGCGUAAUGAACAAUGGAGACUUCUCAAUAACCUGGAGCCGUGGAUCAGAGACUGAAAAUAUUUAGCCCUGCAUGUAUGUGUGCUUUAAAAAAAAAAAAAAUUAAAUUAUUUACUCUCCAAAAUUUGGUUCCAUGAGUUUGGUAUGAAUAUUUUUAGAAAAUGCAUAGUAAUGUAUCAUGUGUGCUUCUUUCUUUAGGACUGCAGCCAUGCG